rnacentral:rRNA from 1 species
GAAGUAUGUUAUUUAAUUCGAUCAUCCUCGAAAAACCUUACCACAAUUUGAAUCAUAUUUAUUUUUGAUUUAAACUUUAAGAUAAAUAUUACAAGUGUUGCACGGCUGUUUUAAGUUAAUGUCGUGAGACUUUGGUUAGAUCCAUUAAAUUAACGUAAACCCUUGCUUUAUUUUACAUAUAUAGAGCAGUUCACCAAUUUAUUGGAUAUGAUAAUAGGGAUUAAGACAAGUCAUCAUGACCUU